GAGUUUGAUUAUGGCUCAGAGUGAACGCUGGCGGCGUGCCUAAUACAUGCAAGUCGAACGGAGAUAUGAGGGCUUGCUCUUAUAUCUUAGUGGCGCACGGGUGAGUAAUGUAUAGCUAAUCUGCCCUACACUAGAGGACCACAGUUGGAAACGACUGCUAAUACUCUAUACUCCUUCUUUACAUAAGUUAAGUCGGGAAAGUUUUUCGGUGUAGGAUGAGGCUAUAUCCUAUCAGCUAGUUGGUGAGGUAAUGGCUCACCAAGGCUAUGACGCGUAACUGGUCUGAGAGGAUGAUCAGUCACACUGGAACUGAGACACGGUCCAGACUCCUACGGGAGGCAGCAGUAGGGAAUAUUGCUCAAUGGGGGAAACCCUGAAGCAGCAACGCCGCGUGGAGGAUGACACUUUUCGGAGCGUAAACUCCUUUUCUUGGGAAAGAAUUAUGACG
rnacentral:rRNA from 1 species